rnacentral:rRNA from 1 species
CCUACGGGAGGCAGCAGUGGGGAAUAUUGCGCAAUGGGCGAAAGCCUGACGCAGCGACGCCGCGUGAGGGAUGAAGGCUUUCGGGUUGUAAACUUCUUUUAAGAGGGAAGAGCAGAAGACGGUACCUCUUGAAUAAGCCACGGCUAACUACGUGCCAGCAGCCGCGGUAAUACGUAGGUGGCAAGCGUUGUCCGGAUUUACUGGGUGUAAAGGGCGUGUAGCCGGGCUGACAAGUCAGAUGUGAAAUCCGGGGGCUCAACCCCCGAACUGCAUUUGAAACUGUUGGUCUUGAGUAUCGGAGAGGCAGGCGGAAUUCCUAGUGUAGCGGUGAAAUGCGUAGAUAUUAGGAGGAACACCAGUGGCGAAGGCGGCCUGCUGGACGACAACUGACGGUGAGGCGCGAAAGCGUGGGGAGCAAACAGGAUUAGAUACCCCUGUAGUC